GAGGCUUAGCUCAGCUGGUUAGAGCGCAUGCUUCACACGCAUGAGGUCACAGGUUCGAGUCCCGUAGUCUCC
rnacentral:tRNA from 1 species